UAGGGAAUCUUCCGCAAUGGACGCAAGUCUGACGGAGCAACGCCGCGUGAGUGAAGAAGGAUUUCGGUUCGUAAAACUCUGUUGUUAGAGAAGAACAGCGCAUAGAGUAACUGUUAUGCGUGUGACGGUAUCUAACCAGAAAGCCACGGCUAACUACGUGCCAGCAGCCGCGGUAAUACGUAGGUGGCAAGCGUUGUCCGGAUUUAUUGGGCGUAAAGCGAGCGCAGGCGGUCAAUUAAGUCUGAUGUGAAAGCCCCCGGCUCAACCGGGGAGGGUCAUUGGAAACUGGUUGACUUGAGUGCAGAAGAGGAGAGUGGAAUUCCAUGUGUAGCGGUGAAAUGCGUAGAUAUAUGGAGGAACACCAGUGGCGAAGGCCACUCUCUGGUCUGUAACUGACGCUGAGGCUCGAAAGCGUGGGUAGCAAACAGG
rnacentral:rRNA from 1 species